UGCGUAGGUGGCAUGGCAAGUUUGAUGUGAAAGCUCAGGGCUUAACCCUGAAAUGGCAUUGAAUACUGCUGGGCUGGAGGUUUGGAGGGGGGGACUGGAAUUCUUGGUGUAGCAGUGAAAUGCGUAGAUAUCAAGAGGAACACCAGUGGCGAAGGCGAGUCCCUGGACAACACCUGACACUGAGGCACGAAAGCCGGGGGAGCAAACA
rnacentral:rRNA from 1 species